GGUCAAGCUACAAAGGGCGCAUGGUGAAUGCCUUGGCAUCAGGAGCCGAUGAAGGACGUGAUAAGCUGCGAUAAGCUUCGGGUAGGCGCACAUAGCCUGAGAUCCGAAGAUCUCCGAAUGAGGAAACUCACAUGGGAAACCCCAUGUAUCAUUAAGUGAAUACAUAGCUUAAUGAAGGUAACCCAGGGAACUGAAACAUCUAAGUACCUGGAGGAAGAGAAAGAAAAAUCGAUUUUCUUAGUAGCGGCGAGCGAAAGGGAAAGAGCCCAAACCGGAAACUUGUUUCCGGGGUUGUGGACAUAGCAUUAAAGUGGAGGCUAUUGUAACUGAAGAGAACUGGAAAGUUCCACCGUAGAAGGUAAUAGUCCUGUAAGUGAAACGAGAAGACCACGAGUUAUGAUCCAGAGUACCACGAGACACGUGAAACCUUGUGGGAAGCAGGGAGGACCACCUCCCAAGGCUAAAUACUACCUGAUGACCGAUAGUGAAGCAGUACCGUGAGGGAAAGGUGAAAAGAACCCCGGGAGGGGAGUGAAAUAGAACCUGAAACCGUGUGCCUACAACCGCUCAGAGCCCCUUAUGAGGGUGAUGAGGUGCUUUUUGUAGAACGAGCCAACGAGUUACGGUAUGUAGCAAGGUUAAGUACUUAAGGUACGGAGCCGAAGGGAAACCGAGUCUGAAUAGGGCGACUAGUUGCAUGCCGUAGACCCGAAACCGGGUGACCUAUCCAUGGCCAGGUUGAAGCGAGGGUAAAACCUCGUGGAGGACCGAACCACGUUGCUGUUGAAAAAGCAUGGGAUGAGCUGUGGAUAGCGGAGAAAUUCCAAUCGAACCCGGAGAUAGCUGGUUCUCUCCGAAAUAGCUUUAGGGCUAGCGUCGAGUAUGAGUAGUGGAGGUAGAGCACUGAAUGGGCUAGGGGGCAUAGCGCUUACCGAACCUUAUCAAACUCCGAAUGCCACAUACUUUGAGCUCGGCAGUCAGACUACGAAUGAUAAGAUCCGUGGUCAAAAGGGAAACAGCCCAGAUCGUCAGCUAAGGUCCCAAAGUGUAAGUUAAGUGGGAAAGGAUGUGAGAUUUCUAAGACAACUAGGAUGUUGGCUUAGAAGCAGCCAUUCAUUAAAAGAGUGCGUAAUAGCUCACUAGUCGAGAGAUCUUGCGCCGAAAAUGUAACGGGGCUAAACUUACCACCGAAGCUACGGGCUUGAACUUAGUUCAAGCGGUAGGAGAGCGUCGUAACCGGGCUGAAGUCGUACCGUAAGGAGCGGUGGACUGGUUACGAGUGAGAAUGUUGGCAUCAGUAGCGAGAUGUGGGUGAGAAUCCCACAGGCCGAAAACCUAAGGUUUCCUCAGGAAGGUUCGUCCGCUGAGGGUUAGUCGGGACCUAAGCCGAGGCCGAAAGGCGUAGGUGAUGGACAACUGGUUGAUAUUCCAGUACCACUACCAUCGUUAUUAUCGAUGGCGUGACGCAGGAGGAUAGUGUGUGCUAGCUAUUGGAUGCUAGUCUAAGCGUUUAGGCAGUGAGAGUAGGCAAAUCCGCUCUCAUAAUGCUGAGGCGUGAUGGGGAAGGUUCUACGGAACCGAAGUACAUGAUUCCACGCUGCCAAGAAAAGCGUCUAGAGAGAGAAGUAGUGCCCGUACCGCAAACCGACACAGGUAGGUGAGGAGAGAAUCCUAAGGCCGGCGGAAGAAUUACAGUUAAGGAACUCGGCAAAUUGACCCCGUAAGUUCGCGAGAAGGGGUGCCUACGAGAGUAGGCCGCAGAGAAUAGGCCCAAGCAACUGUUUAGCAAAAACACAGGUCUCUGCUAAAGCGUAAGCUGAUGUAUAGGGGCUGACGCCUGCCCGGUGCUGGAAGGUUAAGGGGAACACUUAGCGCAAGCGAAGGUGUGAACUUAAGCCCCAGUAAACGGCGGCCGUAACUAUAACGGUCCUAAGGUAGCGAAAUUCCUUGUCAGGUAAGUUCUGACCCGCACGAAUGGCGUAAUGACUUGGGCACUGUCUCAACUGUAAAUCCGGCGAAGUUGUAGUGCGAGUGAAGAUGCUCGCUACCCGCGAUUGGACGGAAAGACCCCGUAGAGCUUUACUGUAGCUUAGCAUUGAGUUUUGGUAUUGUCUGUACAGGAUAGGUGGGAGACUAGGAAACCAGGGCGUCAGCCUUGGUGGAGUCAACCUUGGGAUACCACCCUGACAGUACUGAAAUUCUAACUGGCGGCCAUGAAUCUGGUCACAGGACAUUGUUAGGUGGGCAGUUUGACUGGGGCGGUCGCCUCCUAAAAAGUAACGGAGGCGCCCAAAGGUUCCCUCAGAACGGUCGGAAAUCGUUCGAAGAGUGCAAAGGCAGAAGGGAGCCUGACUGCGACACCCACAAGUGGAGCAGGGACGAAAGUCGGGCUUAGUGAUCCGGUGGUACCUCGUGGGAGGGCCAUCGCUCAACGGAUAAAAGCUACCUCGGGGAUAACAGGCUGAUCUCCCCCAAGAGUCCACAUCGACGGGGAGGUUUGGCACCUCGAUGUCGGCUCGUCGCAUCCUGGGGCUGAAGUAGGUCCCAAGGGUUGGGCUGUUCGCCCAUUAAAGCGGCACGCGAGCUGGGUUCAGAACGUCGUGAGACAGUUCGGUCCCUAUCCGUCGCGGGCGUAGGAAAUUUGAGAGGAGCUGUCCUUAGUACGAGAGGACCGGGAUGGACUGACCUCUGGUGUACCAGUUGUUCCGCCAGGAGCACAGCUGGGUAGCUAAGUCGGGAAUGGAUAAACGCUGAAAGCAUCUAAGCGUGAAGCCAACCUCAAGAUGAGAUUUCCCAUAGCGUAAGCUAGUAAGAUCCCUUGAAGAACACAAGGUUGAUAGGUCGGGGGUGUAAGCAUGGUAACAUGUUCAGCUGACCGAUACUAAUAGAUCGAGGGCUUGACCAA
rnacentral:rRNA from 1 species